CCUACGGGUGGCAGCAGUGGGGAAUAUUGCACAAUGGGCGGAAGCCUGAUGCAGCAACGCCGCGUGCGGGAUGACGGCCUUCGGGUUGUAAACCGCUUUCGCCUGUGAAGAAGCGUGAGUGACGGAACUGGGUAAAGAAGCACCGGCUAACUACGUGCCAGCAGCCGCGGCGAUACGCAGGGUGCGACCGUUGUCCGGAUUUAUUGGGCGUAAAGGGCUCGUAGGUGGUGGAUCGCGACGGAAGUGUAAUUUUGGGGCUUAACCCUGGGCGUGCUUUCGAUACGGGGUGACUUGAGGAAGGUAGGGGAGAAUGGAAUUCCUGGUGGAGCGGUGGAAUGCGCAGAUAUCAGGAGGAACACCAGUGGCGAAGGCGGUUCUCUGGGCCUUUCCUGACGCUGAGGAGCGAAAGCGUGGGGAGCGAACAGGAUUAGAUACCCGGGUAGUC
rnacentral:rRNA from 1 species